UAGACGAAAAUCGCCGUAAGUCGGUGAACAUACGGCGUUACUUAUGGCUGGGCCCUUAACGAGCGAUGUUAAUUCAGCAAUCGCGAGAUCGUUUUGACCUGUCCAGGCAUACACAACGGCCAAAUUACCGCGAACCGUCGGCCUGUUUAUGUUAUUUCCUUUUGAGGAAAUCAAUUCACACGCCCUGUUGGCCUCCUGAACCGCCUGUUCUUUGUACACACCGCCCGUCGCACCUUGGUCAUUUAGAGGAAGUAAAAGUCGUAACAAGGUUUCCGUAGGUGAACCUGCGGAAGGAUCAUUAUCAAAACAGCGGACUUCGGUCCUUGCUGCACCCUUGUCUUUUGCGUACCGUAUGUUUCCUCGGCGGGCUUGCCUGCCGGUUGGACAUUAUCAAACCUUUUUGUAGUUGCAAUCAGCGUCAGAAGACAAACAAUAAUUACAACUUUCAACAACGGAUCUCUUGGUUCUGGCAUCGAUGAAGAACGCAGCGAAAUGCGAAAAGUAGUGUGAAUUGCAGAAUUCAGUGAAUCAUCGAAUCUUUGAACGCACAUUGCGCCCCUUGGUAUUCCAUGGGGCAUGCCUGUUCGAGCGUCAUUUUGUACCCUCAAGCACUGCUUGGUGUUGGGCGUUUGUCCUGCAAAGGACUCGCCUGAAAGCGAUUGGCGGCCAACGUACUGGUGGUAGAGCGCAGCACAAUUUGCGUCUCUCCCCUCUGCGUCGGCGUCCAUGAAGCCUUUUUUCAACGUCUGACCUCGGAUCAGGUAGGGAUACCCGCUGAACUUAAGCAUAUCAAUAAGCGGAGGA
rnacentral:rRNA from 1 species